rnacentral:rRNA from 1 species
AUACGGAGGAUCCGAGCGUUAUCCGGAUUUAUUGGGUUUAAAGGGUGCGCAGGCGGCCAUUUAAGUCAGCGGUUAAAUCGUGGGGCUCAACCCCAUUCUGCCGUUGAUACUGGGUGGCUUGAUUGCGGUCGAGGUUGGCGGAAUUCGUUGUGUGGCGGUGAAAUGCAUAGAUAUGACGAAGAACACCGAUUGCGUAGGCAGCUGACCAGACCGCAAAUGACGCUCAUGCACGAAAGUGCGGGGAUCGAACAGGAUUAGAUACCCUGGUAGUCCGCACAGUAAACGAUGAAUACUUGUUUUCGGCGAUAUAAUGUCGGAGGCAAGGCGAAAGCGAUAAGUAUUCCACCUGGGGAGUACGCCGGCAACGGUGAAACUCAAAUGAAUUGACGGGG